CGGGUUGUGUGGGUUGGCGGGCUCCGUGCUACGGCAUCGAACCGUCCGCGCGCACUCCGCGUCAGUGUUGCAUCAAGAGUCUUCUUGUGCUACGAAUGGAUUCCUGUGUAUACUACCUAUUGUAAAGGUAUGGCGUCUCUCGGUGACCCUUUCCUUCCCCGACUCAUGCGGUCAGGGGGAGGACAUUGUAGCAGUGCACGUGCCCCCUGCUUGGUGUUUGCCUUGUGGCGCUCACCUUGCGACGGUUUGCGGGUUGCUGCUUGAUGUCUCGGAUACGGAACAUUCGGUGGGCUUGGGGUGUUCGCACCCUCGAUGUCCAAAAUUCCAAGCGUUUUGUCGCUAGACAUGCACGACCGUCAUGCUCCUUGUGGGAUCUCCUGCAAGGUGCUUGGCGUCGGCAAAGGAAUGCUACCUGGUU
rnacentral:misc_RNA from 1 species